GGGGCCGGGCGCAGCCAGUCUCCCGCCGCCGCCGCAGCCGCCGGACGCGCAGAGCGAGGGGCGGCUUGACCGACGGCUGCCCCGCGGAGCGCAGAGAGUCGCGGCGCGGGGAGCGUGCCGGGCUGGGACGAGGGUCGCGUCGGUGUUCUUGGCGAGCGACCGGCUCUCAGGCGAGUGCUAAGGGGACCCGAGACCGACUGGACGGGACUUUGGGGAGGGGGCAUCCGGCGCUAGUGGCAGUGCUGCUCCGGCCCUUGCCAUUCGCUUUUGGGCAACCCUAGUGGGCUCCGGGGCUGGGGGCUGCCCAACCCGGCCCGAGUCCACGGCUUGGAGCCCGGGAGGCUGGAGUCGUAGGUUUUUCGCUCCCCUCCCCCGCCCCGCCGCAGUUGCCCCGAGAUGUCCCGGCUCCCAGAACCGGGUGCAGGUGGCAGAGUGGCCAGGCGCGCGCGUCCGCGGGUGAGUUUCCUUUUGACCCUGCUGCCUGAGAACUUUUCAGAAGUUUCUCGCGUGGCCAGAGCAGGUGACAUUUGUCGCCUUUCUCAUCGGGCUCCCCCCGGGGGAGGGUGCGGGAGCUGCGGCGUGUGCCGGGUGAUCCCAGCAGGCGGGGGUCAGGGAGGGAGUGGAGGGAUGAGCGAGGAGUGAGGCUUGGUGAGUCACGGACCCCGGGAGGGAGGAGGAGGGAUUGUGUCGUACGCUCACCUGUUUGUCAGUCACCGUCACACUCAGAGGCCACCGCCGUGAGUCACGGGGCGCAGCUAUACCGGCCACCCGCGGGCACACGUAGGUCCUCUCCCACGCACUUCUACUCCCUCCUCUGCACGUACUUCCUCUCCGUCCUCAGUUUCCCCUCCCCGGGGGGGCCUUUUCCCCGUCACGCACUGUUGAGAUGCCCACACCACAGCAACAGCCAUACACUUAGUCACUCCUGUUCCCGGCACAGUCACACAGCCAUAGCCCACAUUCCUGACACCAGAGCGUCCUCCCCAGCUCUCUCACUGCCCACCCAACACCUCCACUCAGAAGUCGCACAGUCCUCUGAAGCGUAACUCAUCACCCCACGCCCCCAAAUCCUCCAUAGCCCUGCCCUCUUAUAUCUCCGCAUCCCAAAGUCAUCAGGCCCACCCCCCUUUCUCCUCUGUUCUUGUACUGUCACCUCACCUGGCCCUGGCUUCUCUGUCCAACAGGUCACACCCCCUCUAGUCCCGGUGCUGAGCCAUCUUUUAAGAAUGCAAAUCUGGUAUUGUCACUCCCUACUUAAACCCUUCAGUGGCUUCCUGUGCCCUCAGGCUAAAGCCUGCCCUGUAGCCCUGGCUCUGCUGUCUCUUAAGCUGCCCCUCCUCCACUCACCUUUUUGGCUGUUCCUGCUCCAGAUCCUCACCCGUACUAUACCCACUCUCUUGAAGAACUCUCCCUACAUCCAUUUUCCAGAGAAAUUUGCCUUCACCCCCUCUUUUCCCUGUGAUUCUUUCCCUGCAUGGCCCUUUCACCCUCUCCAUUCCAUCACCCCACACUGAUUGUCCCCAUCCUCCAGCUCACACUUCUAGAGGACAACAUUUGUUGUAAAUCUUGCCCCCUGUAUGACCAAACACCUACCCCAGUACUUGACUCAUUAUGGGAGCUCAGUAAAUAUUUGUGGAAUGAAUGAAUGAAUGAAUGAAUGGAGUUAAGGAGGCCUUGGCUUAGGUGGAGGGAGCUGUCACUGUCAGGUGUAAUUUCCCUCCUGCAGAAGCAAGUGCCUUAAGUAGCCAGCUAAUGUUUGGCACCUACCCAGUGCCAAGCCCUAGAGGCUAGGCCUAGGAACUGUCCCCUCCCCCAGAUGACUUUCAGAGGGAUGGGUGGGGGAGGGGUGUGCCCAUGCUUCCUGUCUGCUGUCUCUGGGCUGUCCAGGCAGUUUGUUUCACUAGGGACCAGAGGUGCUCUUAGGUGCUUUUCCCCUGUCCUAGGAAGUAAUUCUUGGGGGUUGGGGUCAUGUGACCCCAGGUGUUUGGGGGUGGGGGUAGCUGGCCAAGGCCUUCAGUUCUGAGGUUAAAGGACACAUUCUUCAGAUUCCUGGAGGGGUUUGGAGGCGACUAAAGGUGCCCCCUCCCUAAUACCAGCUCUGGCUCGGAGCUGGGGCACUGAUGGGACUGCUGAGGUGGACAGAGGAGUUGAUGGGACUUUUUAGAGGUCUUGAAAUGUCCUUCCCCAAACAGCCCUGGGUUGCUUGGUGCCAAGAGUGAGGUGGCCUUCCUUGGAUUCACAUAGUGCAACCUGAGUGUGUAGUUGUGGCCUGUAGGCUUGGGAGACAUUCUCCUAGGCUGCCAGUGCCUGUGUGUGGUGGCUGGAGGGCUGCCUGAUUCUCAGGGCCCAGUCAGAUCCCGGAAGAAGCCUGGUUCUCUUUGAUUCAGGGCCUGUCUCCCGGGGCUCCUUGGGGGUGUGGUAUUUCUGUCUGAGCCAGCUCCCUGGGAAUUUCUUUUCCUUCCUCCAGGACCCCAGGAGGGGGUUGUGCUCACCCUGGGAACAGUGCCACGGUCAGGAUCUUGAUUCCUGGGGAGCUGCAGAGGGCCCCUCCCCCACCCUCUGACUCACUGUCUGACACUUUUCUUGGACUCUUUCACUAUCUUUCAUUCCUUUUUCUGACUUGGCUUCUCCUUGUUUCUGGCUCAGUCUUUCCAUCUCAUCUCCUGCCUCUGCCUCUCUCAGCCUCUGAAUCCCCAGGUGGGACGGAGGAACUGAGAUCCAGGAGCUCUUCCCCACCUCCCCAAGGGAAUAUCAGGGAGGAGAUGAUUCUCAUUUCAUUCCAGGUCUGCAGAUCCUGCAAGGGGCUCAUCACUCCUGCCUGCAGUGUGAUUGUAACCUCCCUAUGACUCUUUUCCUAUCUGCAGCCUUGGAGGCUAGAACCCCCUCACCUUAAAUCCUUCUAUGGACAUUCCUGAUGGCAGAGCCCUGGUAUCUGGCCUGAGCUGCUUCCUUGACAUCUCUUCAUCUGUUUACUCUUGGGGAACAGGGGGCCUCCUGUUAUGCCUGUGUUGGCACCACCUGCAGUUAGACCUUCCCUCUUCAGUCUUUAGGGCCACCUUUAAGUGUCAUUCUUGCUUGAGUCCUCUGGCACUGGCCAGAGGAGGAACAUGUGGCCCUCUCCUAAAUUAACUGCCAGGAGCCAAAGGUCACAUUGAAAAUUUGUGUACUUAUAAUCUGUUUCUAGGUCGAUUCCUGAUACCAUGGGAGCUAUCUUGGUCAGUUUGGACUGCUAUAACAAAAAUGGCAUAGGCUGGGUGGCUUAGACAAAAGAAGUUACUUCUUCUGUUUCUGAAAGUGGGUGGGUGCAAGUUCAGGGUGUCAAUCUGAUGAGGAGGGUUCCUUUUCUAAUAUGCAGAUGCACUGUGUCUUACUGUGUCCUCACAUGGUAGAGAAAGAGGUCAUCUCUGUGUUUCUUAUAAAGGCAUUAUUUCCAUUCAUGACCUUAUCUCCCAAAGGCCUUUAAGCACCAUCACUUGGGAUUUGACUUCCAACACAGGAAUUUUGGUAGGACACAAAUAUUUGGUCUACAGCAUGACUUAGAGAGGCAGGAGGAAAGAGUAGGGGACUCUGGAGGUCCCUUUGGAGAUAACUUCUGAAAGAGAAUGAGGUUGGGUUGUUCCAGUUUGUGCAAAGGCCGGGAGAUGGGCAAGGGUAUGGUCGGUAGGGGAAAUGCAGGUUCAGCUGGAGUACAGAGAAGAGCCAUAGGGAGACUGCGGGAUGAGGCUGGAGGCCAAGCAGUGGCCAGCUCUGCUUCAGCCUCUUAACUGAUCCUAAGGUCAAGCUUCCCCAGGGGGAGCUACAGACAGAGUGGUGCUAUGCAAUGGAAUGGCAGGUGGAUCUUUGGUUUUACAGGGUCAUUCUGGCUGCAGAGUAAUGGUUGGUGGAGAGAGCAGGAGCAGAAGCAGGGGACAUGUGUAGUAGUAAUGGGGACUGGGAGGUGAUAAGGGUAAUAAACUUUAUUUAUUUUAAGUGCUAGGAAUUGAACCCAAGGCUUGAGCAUCCUAGGCAAGUGCUGUACAGCUGAGCUACACCCUCAGCCCAGACUUUUUAAAAUUGAUGGUGACCUACAUAGAAUUCAUGCAGUGUACACAUUCCACAUGUACAGCUAGAUGAAUUUUUAGUUUUGGGGCACCCCUAUCACCACCAACCAGAGCACAACAGAGAACAUUUCUAGACCUCACAGGAAAUCCCCUCAUGACUCUCCCCAGUGUGUGCCCCUCCCUCCCCCUGGAACCACUAUUCUGACUUGUGUAAUCACUGAUGAGUUUUGCCUUUUCUUGAACUUCAUGAUCAGGAUUUUGUUUCUGGUUUCUUUGUCUCAGUGUAAUAUCUGAGAUUCAUCUGUGUUGUGUGUAUCCAGGAGCUCAUUCUUUUUUCCACACAUUUACUGAAACACUUAUCAUUGUCCAAGAACAUGACUUGUAUCGAUUCCUGUAAACCUUCUAACCCUAUGAGGUUUUAAGACAAAAGAGUCGGAGGCCCAGAAAUGUUAAGGAACUUGUCCAGGAUCACCCAGCCAAUUAAUAUCCAAGGUAGGGUUCAAAGGCAGGCAGUCUGGUUCUGGAGCCAGGGUUUUUAAUACAAUGCUGGGUGGCCUCCAGGAUGCCUACUGAGUCUGUGCCUGACUUUGUGUGGAGUACGUGAAUGUGUAUGUGAACUUCAGGACCCAGGGCCUGGACGUAGAUGAAGGGAGAGGGAGGAAGGAGUUGAGGAUGGCUGCAGGUUUCUGGCUUGAGCAACUGGGUGGGUGGCAGUGCUGUUACUAAGAUAGGGAACACAGGAAGAGGAACAGAUGGUGUUGGGGGUGGGGGACAGAGACCAGGGUUCAAUUUGGGGCCUGUGGAAUUGUAUGUUUCCUGGGGAAGGCCAGGCAUAGAGAGUGGGCAAUUGGUGGUGGUGAGGAGGGGGACGCCGUCCUCAGACCAGGCACGUGAUUAAGGAGGCAUUCAGCACCCUAUAGAUGGCACCUGGAAUUUGGGGGAAAGGAUGGUGUCUCCCCACAGGGGCAGGAAGUGUGGGUGCUGUUUGUUCAUGUGUGUGCUUCUGUGUCUGAAUAUCUGUGGUCUCUGUGUGUGUGCAUGUGUGUGCCUGGCUCUGGAUUAUGAGUUCCCCCAUCUCCUGGGAGAGCCUGCAGGUCAGCUGGGAGCUGGGUUGUUUUUGUUUGUGGUUUGACCCUGGGAAGGGGGGUGCCAAGCCUAAGAAACUACCCCCGGAAACACCUGUGUAUCCUCUUCCCCCAGGCCCAGGGUGGGGGGCUAG
rnacentral:lncRNA from 1 species